UUUCCGUAGGUGAACCUGCGGAAGGAUCAUUAUCGUAAAACCGAGGUGCGAGGGCUGUCGCUGACCUUUUCGGUCGUGCACGCCCGAGCGCUCUCACACAAUCCAUCUCACCCCUUGUGCACCACCGCGUGGGUCCCCCUUUGGCUUGUUCGGAGGGGGGCUUACGUUUUCACACAAACUUUGUAUGCAGUGUAGAAUGUAUUUUUUGUUUUUGCGAUCACGCAAUCAAUACAACUUUCAACAACGGAUCUCUUGGCUCUC
rnacentral:misc_RNA from 1 species